AAAACCAAGGCUCAUCAUCAUCCACAACAAUCACUUCCUUGAGCUUCUUCGAUCGUUUAUCAUCUGGAGGCUGAAAAAUAAUGCAAAACGUGAUUAUAAGUAUUUACUAAACAAAAGAUGAAAUCAAAUUAAUCAACAAACGUUAAAAGCUUACAAUAACUGAUUCUUGAGGCAACACAUCAUCUGAAUCGAUGAUAAUAAUAUCAGCAGACUUGGCUGGUUCGCUGAUAAUAAUAUUAGUAGACUUGGUUGGUUCGCUAAUAAUAAUAUUAGCAGACUUGGCUGGUUUUUUCUCUUCUCUAGCUUCAAUAUCUGCCAGCGAGAUAUAACCACUCGAGUAGUCACGUUUCAGCUUACAAAGUCUCACAACAUCAUCAACAAGCAAUCCGUAUUUACUAUCUUCAAACCCAUCAAAGAGAUUAGGUAGAUAGAAUGGGUCAAGGCGCUUGGCAAGAUCUCCUUGAGUAAUGCUCUUGCUAAGUGGAUUUGGAGGCCAAGCUGUUCAUCAUCAAUCACGAGUAA